rnacentral:sRNA from 12 species
UGCCUUGGCUCAUGCCAAAACAUAACAAACUUCAACGCUGUAUUAGUAGACGCCGAGGCGGUUGAAAAUUCAGCAAAAACAAACAU